AUGCUGGACAAGCUGUGGGACGACGUGGUGGCCGGGCCUCGCCCGGAGACGGGCCUCGACAAGCUCCGCCGGGCCGCCGCCACCCAACCCCUCGCCAUCAACACAGCUGCAGGGGAGGCGAUUAAGCAGUCGCCGUCGAUGCCGACGACCCCGACCACGCCGGUGACGCCGUCGUCGUCCACGCCGCCGCGCGGCGGCAGCGUGUGGCGGAGCGUUUUCCACCCCGGGAGCAACCUGGCCACCAAGAGCCUCGGCGCCAACCUCUUCGACCGCCCGCAGCCCAACUCCCCCACCGUCUACGACUGGCUUUACAGCGACGAGACGAGGACAAGGAGCAACCACCGCUAA
rnacentral:rRNA from 1 species